CAAGUCGACGCUUCUUUUUCCACCGGAGCUUGCUCCACCGGAAAAAGAGGAGUGGCGAACGGGUGAGUAACACGUGGGUAACCUGCCCAUCAGAAGGGGAUAACACUUGGAAACAGGUGCUAAUACCGUAUAACAAUCGAAACCGCAUGGUUUUGAUUUGAAAGGCGCUUUCGGGUGUCGCUGAUGGAUGGACCCGCGGUGCAUUAGCUAGUUGGUGAGGUAACGGCUCACCAAGGCGACGAUGCAUAGCCGACCUGAGAGGGUGAUCGGCCACAUUGGGACUGAGACACGGCCCAAACUCCUACGGGAGGCAACAGUAGGGAAUCUUCGGCAAUGGACGAAAGUCUGACCGAGCAACGCCGCGUGAGUGAAGAAGGUUUUCGGAUCGUAAAUCUCUGUUGUUAGAGAAGAACAAGGAUG
rnacentral:rRNA from 1 species